UGCGUAGGCGGCUUUUUAAGUCAGGGGUGAAAGACGGUGGCUCAACCAUCGCAGUGCCCUUGAUACUGAAGAGCUUGAAUACAUUAGAGGUAGGCGGAAUGUGACAAGUAGCGGUGAAAUGCAUAGAUAUGUCACAGAACACCGAUUGCGAAGGCAGCUUACUAUGAUGAGAUUGACGCUGAGGCACGAAAGCGUGGGGAUCAAACAGGAUUAGAUACCCUGGUAGUCCACGCCCUAAACGAUGAAUACUCGCUGUUAGCGAUACACAGUUAGCGGCUAAGCGAAAGCGUUAAGUAUUCCACCUGGGGAGUACGGUCGCAAGAUUGAAACUCAAAGGGAUUGACGGGGGCCCGCACAAGCGGAGGAGCAUGUGGUUUAAUUCGAUGAUACGCGAGGAACCUUACCCGGGCUUGAAAGUUAGUGAAUCAUUUAGAGAUAGAUGAGUGAGCAAUCACACGAAACUAGGUGCUGCAUGGCUGUCGUCAGCUCGUGCCGUGAGGUGUUGGGUUAAGUCCCGCAACGAGCGCAACCCCUAUGUUUAGUUGCCAGCACGUUAAGGUGGGGACUCUAAACAGACUGCCUGUGCAAACAGAGAGGAAGGAGGGGACGACGUCAAGUCAUCAUGGCCCUUACGUCCGGGGCUACACACGUGCUACAAUGGAUGGUACAGAGGGCAGCAAGCUGGCAACAGCAAGCGAAUCUCCAAAAGCCAUUCACAGUUCGGAUAGAGGUCUGCAACUCGACCUCUUGAAGUUGGAUUCGCUAGUAAUCGCAUAUCAGCAAUGAUGCGGUGAAUACGUUCCCGGGCCUUGUACACACCGCCCGUCAAGCCAUGGAAGUUGGGGGUACCU
rnacentral:rRNA from 1 species